rnacentral:rRNA from 1 species
GACGAACGCUGGCGGCGUGCUUAACACAUGCAAGUCGAACGGACAGGCCCUGCGCUUGCGGCGUGCUCGUUUGGCGAACGGGGGAGUAACACGUGAGUAACCUGCCCUUGACUUUGGGGUAACAUCACGAAACUGCGGCUAAUACCCGAUAGGAUAUCCUGCUGCAUGGUGGGGGUUGGAAAAUUUCGGCUGUUGUGGCUGGUUUCGCGGCUUAUGAGCUUGUUUGUGGGGUAGGGGUUUACCAAGGCUUUGACGGGUAGCCCGCCUGGGAGGGUGACCGGCGACAUUGGUCCUGCGGUACGGCGCAGACGGGUACGGUAGGCAGUAGUGGGAAAUAUGGCACAAUGGGGGGAAGCGUGAUGCAGAAGCGCUGCGAGCGGAAUGACGUCUUUCGAGUUGAAAACAGCUUUCGCAUGAGACGAAGCGGGAGUGACGGUAAUGGGUAAAGAAGCACCGGCUAACUACGUG